UAGCUCAGUUGGUAAAGGAUCUGCCUGCAGUGCAGAAGACCUGGGUUCAAUUCCUAG
rnacentral:tRNA from 1 species